CAACUACUCCCUCUAUUCGGAAUUACUUGUCUCGGAAAUGGAUGUAUCUAGAACUAAAAUACAUCUAGAUACAUCCAUUUCGACGACAAGUAAUUCCGAACGGAGAGAGUAGCUU
rnacentral:pre_miRNA from 1 species